UGGGUUGGGUUCUUCCUCUUCUUCGCUUUGAUCGGUCGUCACGCAUAUGAUGCAUAUCUUUGCCUCCUUGACCGAGACAUCCGUCAAACUGUCUUCGGAUCUAUUACCUAACGGAGAGGAAUAAAGAAAACAAAAAUAGCAGUUACAGGAUAUUGUUCUUACCUUCAAUGGAAUUGGAUAAAACAGACGAGAAACAAAAAAUGACGAGACCCAAAAAAAGUAACCUCAUGUUUGAAUCUGACGACAAGCAAGGUUUGCAGCUUAACGUGUACGUCUUUACCACGUCUUGACGAUAAAUUCUCUGUGCAGACUUGUAACCGGCUCCCAUAUAUAUACACCGCAACGAUUCUAAUAGGACAAAUAGUCAGUUACGAAUCGCUGAUACCAUGAACUGCGUCGUACACCAGCAGACAUGUCAAAGAAGCCGACUGGGUUUUUCCAAACAAGACAUUUGGUGAAGUUUACGCCAUGGCUGCAGUUCUGUUAAAUUUCGGUCUAAAUAAACAGGGCUCUCCUAUUUCAGUUAGAGUGUGGGAGGUCUCUAGGCGAGAAAUUGAUAAUCUCUUUUUCUCAGAUUACAGAUGUCAACCACUCAUAUACCUAAUGCCUUCAGGCCAUUCAAAGAUGUUACUUUUUCCUGCAUUGGUGGCUUUUUGUAUCUUGAUAUUUUUUCAUGGUGGCCUCAGCAAUUAAAUGCAAACUUCAGUAGAUCACUUUACAACUUGUUGAUCUACCCAGCAGCGACUUGAACCUUAAGGAUUUGCUUUGCUUGAAAAUCUAGCAGAACAAGAGGUCAUUUUAUUCCAUCGCCGCAAAGGAGUCGAUUCAAAUAAAAACAAACUUCGGGUAUGAGCUUAUCGGUUUUAUCGCGGGUUCAACUGACACUCGAUAACGAAAAAAAAAAAUGUGUUCAGUGCUUGAGUUUCUAGUACGCCCAAUUUAAUGUUUGGUGCAUCGUCUAGGGUUUUUACUCGCUUCGUUGGUCGUUUUGCAAACAACGUAACGAAUCGCAAACAAAGCAUUAUUGUGCACCCCAGGAGCCAUAACUUUUCUUGUGAGUCGAGAAUUUACACAGUGUGGUUUUAGUGCUGGGCAAAAAACUAUACAUUGCCAUGAUCAUUACCGAAAACUACAAUUUUAUUUCCGUAACAUGAGUUUCUUACGAUCGCAAGUUUCUUUUCAGUAUUUAGCUUCUUCCAACAUUGUUUCUUGUGGAUUCCGAUCGUGAAAUCCUGGAUCACUAUAUUUAAACGCCCUUAGUUCGGCAUGAAAACAAUUCCCUUUCAAAAUUCCCGCCAAUUAUGUCGUCAAGGUGUCCGUCACCUAGCGGUCGUUAGGAACAUUACGAAAAGAGUAUCAGGAAUUCAGGACAUCACAAAACAAACAUUUCACAUGGAGAAAAUCCGACCCUCUCUGUCUUUGGUUUCAGCUGAGUUUGAAAUAUUUGGAAAGGUCCAGGGUGUUUUCUUCCGCAAAUAUACUCGUGAUCAAGGUAACAAAUUGGGACUGAAAGGAUGGUGUCGAAACACGGAAGCCGGUACGGUUGAAGGAGUCAUGGAGGGAACUCAGGAUCAAGUGAACAUGAU